UGCUUGUCUCAAAGAUUAAGCCAUGCAUGUCUAAGUACAAACUUUCACACAGUGAAACCGCGAAUGGCUCAUUAAAUCGGUUACUCUUUAUUGGAUCGUUGUCCUACUUGGAUAACUGUAGUAAUUCUAGAGCUAAUACAUGCAACACAGCUCCGACCGCGCGAGCGGGAAGAGCGCUUUUAUUAGAUCAAAACCAAUCCUGCUUCGCGGCAGGUGCUCGUUGGUGACUCUGGAUAACUUUGGGCUGAUCGCAUGGCCAUGCGCCGGCGACGUAUCUUUCAAAUGUCCGCCCUAUCAACUUUCGAUGGUACGUGCUAUGCCUACCAUGGUUGUAACGGGUAGCGGGGAAUCAGGGUUCGAUUCCGGAGAAGGGGCCUGAGAAACGGCCACUACAUCCAAGGAAGGCAGCAGGCGCGCAAAUUACCCACUCCCGGCACGGGGAGGUAGUGACGAAAAAUAACAAUACGGGCUCUCUUUCGAGGCUCCGUAAUUGGAAUGAGUACACUUUAAAUCCUUUAACGAGGAUCGACUGGAGGGCAAGUCUGGUGCCAGCAGCCGCGGUAAUUCCAGCUCCAGCAGCGUAUAUUAAAGUUGUUGCAGUUAAAAAGCUCGUAGUUGGAUCUGGGGCUCGGGCGGGCGGUUCACCUCACGGUGUCACUGCUCGUCCCGACCUUUACCUGCCGGUUUUCCCCCGAUGCUCUUUAUCGAGUGUCUCGGGUGGCCGGAACGUUUACUUUGAAAAAAUUGGAGUGUUCAAAGCAGGCAAGUUCGCCUGUACAAUGUUGCAUGGAAUGAUGGAAUAGGACCUCGGUUCUAUUUUGUUGGUUUUCGGAAGCCGAGGUAAUGAUUGAGAGGGACAGACGGGGGCAUUCGUAUUACGGCGUUAGAGGUGAAAUUCUUGGAUCGCCGUAAGACGGACUACUGCGAAAGCAUUUGCCAAGAAUGUU
rnacentral:rRNA from 1 species